CAAACCUGUUCAGCUGCCUUCACUCGUGGGUGUCAAAAGCAGGUUAUGCAACUUGAAAACACCUGCAAUGCUCCAUGUCCAAAAACAAGAUUUCAAUCUUUUUAUACCCAGGGAAAGAUAUCACAAGCUAUAAUCAAAAGUCUUACAGGUACCACAGAACAAAAACACAAUUCAGACACGUUCAGUCAGGACAAGGUACCAAUCAUGAGGGCCACCCAGCAAGACAUGACCCCGUCCACCUCUAAAAAGGAAGAGAUGCCUCACAGGAAGCAAUGACAAGGUGUCUCAGAAGCUGUCCACCAGCUCAGACAGUGACACCUCAGAAGGUUGGAUCCAUUCUGAAAUCUGCAGCCAAUCUGGUGUAAGUACAUCCACAGUAUUGCUAGAAAGAGGAAUAAUGUUAUGUAUUGGGAGGACAAUUUGCAGGUGAUCUUUCUACACAUCUGAUGCCCUUGUUCUCCAGUGUGCAGAUUUGAAAGGUGCUGUUGAAGGAACCUGGGAGAGUUGCUGCAGAGCAACAUUUAGAUGUCUUACUUCAGAUUUUCAGCGUCCAGAGCGCAUGACCUUUUCCAUUAAUGUCUGAGUUGUUAUUGUGUAUAAUAAACCCUGAAAACCAUGCAAAUGUCUCAAUAUGUAAUAGUUUCAAAACAUAUAUAGGAGGAAUGGUCCUCCAAGCCUGCUCCACCAUUCAACAAUUUUUGGACAAUCCUCUGUUUAAGCUCCACUU